rnacentral:lncRNA from 13 species
UCUACAAACAGGAUUCAAAGCAUAAGAGGGCUGAAAGACUCUGAAGUAUGUAGAACCAGAAAUUGCUCUCGGCUCUCCUAAGAUGUCACCAGCCUUUAGUGAGCUCACGUUCAGCAGUCAAGCAGGCAGUGAAGACCUGAAAGGGUGGGCAUGAAGAGUUGGAGGAUGGGUGCUGACUUGUUAUGUGGCUGAGGAUCUGUGGAAUUCUCAUCUGUCAUGCCAGGCCACCCACAGUUAUUAAAAGACCAUUACAGAAGGUGCCUGCUUCCCCUUUGGCUUCUGCCAUGACUUCCUGAGGCCUUCCCAGCCAUGCAGAACUGUGAGUCAAUUAAACCUCUUUCCUUUAUAAAUAAACCGUCUCAGGCAUUUCUUUAUAGCA